UUGGAGGUGAUGCAUAAAAAUAUCUGAUUUCCCUGUGAAGGUGUUUGUAUUCAUACUGUCUGAUCCAG